rnacentral:rRNA from 1 species
UACAGAGGGUGCGAGCGUUAAUCGGAAUUACUGGGCGUAAAGCGCGCGUAGGCGGCUUUGCAAGUCAGGCGUGAAAUUCCCGGGCUCAACCUGGAGGCUGCGCUUGAUACUGAUGAGCUUGAAUGCGGGAGAGGAUAGUGGAAUUCCCAGUGUAGAGGUGAAAUUCGUAGAUAUUGGGAAGAACACCGGUGGCGAAGGCGGCUAUCUGGCCCGUAAUUGACGCUGAGGCGCGAAAGCGUGGGGAGCAAACAGG